AGAGCGAACGCUGGCGGCAGGCCUAAUACAUGCAAGUCGAACGGAUCCUUCGGGAUUAGUGGCGGACGGGUGAGUAACACGUGGGAACGUACCCUUUGGUUCGGAACAACUCAGGGAAACUUGAGCUAAUACCGAAUGUGCCCUUCGGGGAAAAGAUUUAUCGCCAUUGGAGCGGCCCGCGUCUGAUUAGCUAGUUGGUAGGGUAAAGGCCUACCAAGGCUACGAUCAGUAGCUGGUCUGAGAGGAUGAUCAGCCACACUGGGACUGAGACACGGCCCAGACUCCUACGGGAGGCAGCAGUAGGGAAUAUUGCGCAAUGGGCGGAAGCCUGACGCAGCGACGCCGCGUGGGGGAUGAAGGCCUUCGGGUUGUAAACCCGUUUCAGCAGGGACGAAGCGGAAGUGACGGUACCUGCAGAAGAAGCGCCGGCUAACUACGUGCCAGCAGCCGC
rnacentral:rRNA from 1 species